GAUGAACGCUAGCGGCAGGCUUAAUACAUGCAAGUCGAGGGGCAGCACAGGUAGCAAUACUGGGUGGCGACCGGCAAACGGGUGCGGAACACGUACGCAACCUUCCUUUAAGUGGGGGAUAGCCCAGGGAAACUUGGAUUAAUACCCCUUAACAUUAUGAGAUGGCAUCGUUUUAUAAUUAAAGCUCCGGCGCUUAAAGA
rnacentral:rRNA from 1 species